GAAUAUUUGCUUUUUAGUAUUUGUCUAGCAGGCAUCUAAUAAUUAGAUGCCCAC
ensembl:snRNA U7 U7 small nuclear RNA